CCUACGGGAGGCAGCAGUGAGGAAUAUUGGUCAAUGGACGAGAGUCUGAACCAGCCAAGUAGCGUGAAGGAUGACUGCCCUAUGGGUUGUAAACUUCUUUUAUAUGGGAAUAAAAUGUUCCACGUGUGGGAUUUUGUAUGUACCAUAUGAAUAAGGAUCGGCUAACUCCGUGCCAGCAGCCGCGGUAAUACGGAGGAUCCGAGCGUUAUCCGGAUUUAUUGGGUUUAAAGGGAGCGUAGGUGGUUUGUUAAGUCAGUUGUGAAAGUUUGCGGCUCAACCGUAAAAGUGCAGUUGAAACUGGCAGUCUUGAGUACAGUAGAGGUGAGCGGAAUGCGUGGUGUAGCGGUGAAAUGCUUAGAUAUCACGAAGAACUCCGAUUGCGAAGGCAGUUCACUGGACUGCAACUGACACUGAGGCUCGAAAGUGUGGGUAUCAAACAGGAUUAGAUACCCGGGUAGUC
rnacentral:rRNA from 1 species